UACGGGGGGAGCUAGCGUUUUUCGGAAUUACUGGGCGUAAAGCGCGCGUAGGUGGUUUGUUAAGUUGGAUGUGAAAGCCCCGGGCUCAACCUGGGAACUGCAUCCAAAACUGGCAAGCUAGAGUACGGUAGAGGGUGGUGGAAUUUCCUGUGUAGCGGUGAAAUGCGUAGAUAUAGGAAGGAACACCAGUGGCGAAGGCGACCACCUGGACUGAUACUGACACUGAGGUGCGAAAGCGUGGGGAGCAAACAGG
rnacentral:rRNA from 1 species